GGACCCGCACAAGCGGUGGAGUAUGUGGUUUAAUUCGAUGCAACACGAAGAACCUUACCAGGGUUUGAAAUCAUUUCAAAACUCCUUGAAAGAGGAGCCUCCUUCGGGAUGAAAUGACAGGUGGUGCAUGGCUGUCGUCAGCUCGUGUUGUGAAAUGUCGAGUUAAGUCUCGUAACGAGCGCAACCCAUGUCUCUUGUUGCUCAUUGAGUGCUUAAGAGAGACUGCCGACCAACAUCGGAGGAAGGUGUGGAUGAUGUCAAGUCAGCAUGCCCCUUACAUCCUGGGCUACACACGUACUACAAUGGUAGGGACAAUGAGCUGCGAUCCUGCGAAGGCUAGCCAAUCUCAAAAACCCUAUCUCAGUUCGGAUUGUACUCUGCAACUCGAGUACAUG
rnacentral:rRNA from 1 species